rnacentral:misc_RNA from 1 species
GGGAAUUUUUAUAAGGAUAAUAGUUGAUUUUUUAAUAGAAAUUUUUUAAGUUAGGAGGGAAUGGUAAGAUAUAUUUAAAGUGAUGAAAGAAAAUAAUUUAUAGUUUAGAUUAUUGUAUUUAGUAAGGAUUUUAUUUAAAUAUGAAGGAGAAAUUAAAAGUUUUAUAGAUAAGUAAAAGUUGAGAGAAUUUAGUAUUAUUAAAUUAGUUUUUUAAUAAAUGUUAAAGGAUUUUUUUUAGAUAGGAAAUAUAGAAAGGGUGUAUAAAUUUAAAUUUAAAAUAAUAAAGUAAAUGGUAAUGGGAUUAUAUUUAUCAAUAAUUAU